AUGACCAGCCAACUUCUCUCCUCCACCACCGCCACCACACACCUCCGUUCUUGGUGGUACCGGUUCCGUUAGAACCGCCUCACUUCUCUAUUCGAUUCCCGAUUGAUCCCAGCCCUGAUCCGCCGUCGUGGUCGCCGGAAUCAGCCACGAAACAGGCAAUGUUGGACAGUUUUUUAAGCAAACUUUCGGGAGCUCGUUCGGACACCUCCGGCCACCAA
rnacentral:lncRNA from 1 species